CAAGUCAUCAUCGGCCCUUAUGUCCGAGGGCGACACACGUGCUACAAUGGCCGGCACAGGCGGGAAGCGAGGGGGCGACCUUGAGCGGAUCCCUCAAAGCCGGUCUCAGUUCGGAUUGCAGUCUGCAACUCGACUGCAUGAAGUUGGAAUCGCUAGUAAUCGUGGAUCAGCCAAGCCGCGGUGAAUACGUUCCCGGGCCUU
rnacentral:rRNA from 1 species